rnacentral:rRNA from 1 species
GUUAACGCUGGCGGCGUGCCUAACACAUGCAAGUCGAACGAAGGGUGGCAGAAUAUCGCGCCCUUAGUGGCAGACGGGUGAGUAACACGUAAAUUACCUGCCCUCGAAUGGGAGACAACCUGGCGAAAGUCGGGCUAAUACCCCAUAAUACCCCUUGGAAGCAUUUCCUGGGGGUUAAAGGCCCGCAAGGGUCGUUCGAGGAGGGGUUUGCGGCCUAUCAGCUAGUUGGCGGUGUAACGGACCACCAAGGCAAUGACGGGUAGCCGAUCUAAAAGGAUGACCGGCCACAAGGGCACUGAGACACGGGCCCUACUCCUACGGGAGGCAGCAGUGGGGAAUUUUGGACAAUGGGCGAAAGCCUGAUCCAGCGACGCCGCGUGGAGGACGAAGGCCUUCGGGUUGUAAACUCCUUUUGCAGGGGACGAAAGAGCGCAAGCUUCUGACGGUACUCUGCGAAUAAGCCACGGCUAACUACGU